rnacentral:rRNA from 1 species
UACGUAGGUGGCAAGCGUUGUCCGGAAUUAUUGGGCGUAAAGCGCGCGCAGGCGGCUUCCCAAGUCCCUCUUAAAAGUGCGGGGCUUAACCCCGUGAUGGGAAGGAAACUGGGAAGCUGGAGUAUCGGAGAGGAAAGUGGAAUUCCUAGUGUAGCGGUGAAAUGCGUAGAGAUUAGGAAGAACACCGGUGGCGAAGGCGACUUUCUGGAUGAAAACUGACGCUGAGGCGCGAAAGCGUGGGGAGCAAACAGG